GUUCGCUUUCGGGCUCGGCACACAAACGUCGAAGGGAAACCUCGCGGAGAUUGUGCGGAAUAUAUUCACGAUGUGAUUCGCGUUAUUUUAUGUUAUGAAAGAUCACGAAAGGUUUCAAUUACGGAGUGAGCAUCUAUGUUCUAUGGAGCUAGAGAAACUUCGCGGUGGUCUUGGCGCUGGGCGAUAAUCGUGUUGACAUCUUAGCCGAAUCAAAUAAUUGAGAUUGGCAUUUGUUGGAACCAGCCUAAGACAUAGUUACAUGAUGUCUAGCUGCGCCAAAAGAAGAAGAGAGAUCUCAUCUACGCGAUCUACUACAGUUGAAAAAGUUCCCAUUCCGGACAUCUUGUUCGUCUUCCGAAACGACGAAACGUGAUCUGGUGUAAAAGCCUGGGAAAACGGGACCACUCCCAGCAAAUGGCAUCCAGCUACCAGCAAGGACCCGGCGAACGUGCCGACAAGCUUCAUUAGCAGAUCAGCUGUGACAUGAAACCGGCACAAACCCAGACAUCCUGCCAUGUAGCAAAUCCGGCGGCGCUGUGCCCCUGCUCCCCGGACCACCCCGGAGACCAAACGGACGACUGGUGGACCCGCUUAUGAACCGCAUAAAAUUUAAUUUCCAGGAUAAUCGGCCGACCGAACAGCCGCGCGCUGGCAAAGGUUGCUAGCUGCGUCCUCCGGUGCACUAUUUCACACGCACGCGACCCUUCCCGAACAACAACUACAAAAAAAUGCUAAAAAGGCGUGCCAACCCGGACAGCACAGCGCACCGCCGAGGCACUCUGCUGAAUGCGCACCAACCGAACGCCGCUGCGCAAAUGGGUGCAGUUAAAAACAGUUUAAACUUGCGCCGCCCUAGCCCCCUCGCUCGUCACUCGCUGCUCAUUUGGAAGGAAUUGUCCUUUUUUUAUUUUCUGGUUUUUGAAGCUAGCUGCUGCCCUCCCUAGAAGAGCGCUUCAGCUCCUGCGGCGGAUACGGCACAAGGGAUAUCAAGAUCGACGGCACGCGUCAAAAAUCAUUCAAAUCCACAACCCACAACUGCUGAGUGCGACCGCUCGCGGACCCUGCAACGGCAUACAGUAGGGAAAUAAUUACAUUAGCUUUAAGGACAGUUGCGGUUGGGUGGGAUCUGUACACAUAACGUUUGCACCUACCUUCGGUCGCGUUUCGCGUGUGCUGCACGUGUCCCACUGUGUGUGUGUGUGUGUGUGUGUGUGUGUGUGUGUGUGUGUGUGUGUGUGUGGCGCUACCGACAAAUCUCGUUAUCGGUCCCGAAAAAUCCCCGAAAGUAAAAAAAAAAAAUACACA